rnacentral:sRNA from 1 species
AGGAACCACCCGGGGCCAUGGACGGAGCAGUGAUGGAAGGGCCGCUCUUUUUGCAGAGUCAGCGCUUUGGGACCAAGAGGUGGAGGAAGACCUGGGCCGUGCUCUACCCGGCCAGUCCCCACGGCGUAGCUCGGCUCGAGUUCUUUGACCAUAAGGGGUCGAGCUCUGGGGGUGGCCGAGGGAGCUCGCGCCGCCUGGACUGCAAGGUGAUCCGUCUGGCUGAGUGUGUGAGUGUGGCCCCUGUCACCGUGGAGACCCCCCCUGAGCCCGGCGCCACUGCAUUCCGCCUGGACACUGCUCAGCGCUCGCACCUGCUGGCGGCCGACGCGCCGUCCAGUGCAGCCUGGGUGCAGACGCUGUGCCGAAACGCCUUUCCGGUGAGGAGCUGCGGCGAUGCAGGGUGGGGGCAGUUACCGAGGCAGAGAAAUGGGGCUGGCUCAGACCGACCCCCCCUCCCCGCUGAGGAAAUUAGGGGUUUCUCGAUGCUCUCUGUCUACUACAGAAAGGCAGUUGGACUCUGGCUUCUACUGAUAACCCACCUAAGCUUUCUGCCCUGGAGAUGCU